CUCCCUCGCCUCAGCCGCCAGGAGCGGCGGUCGAUCCGGUGCCGCGCCGGCCGCGGGCCGCCGGCCGGUGCCGGCGAGCGUCCGCGCCUUCGGAGUCUUCCUCUGCGCCUUUCUGCAUGGGGACGCGUUCGGAGGAGCUCGCUGCCAGGUUGGCGGCCGGGGGCCCCGGCGGCGUCGGCGGACCAGCAGGAGGAGGAUGCGGGGAGGGGCAGCACGAGCGGGUGGUCGCGCUCCGCGAGAUCAAGAACCAGACCUUCGGGAACCAGACCAAGAAGCUCCUCUACCUCCGCCUGGGUGCCGUGUUAGCGGUCGUCACGGCGCGUCACCAGCCAUGCUCGUCCAUGAGCGGCCGCGGCGGAGUACUUUGCUUGCGGCGUAGACGAUGGCGCGCAUGCCGUGCUUGCUGCUGGAGCCGUGGGGCACCUCCUCGCCCACCCCGACAACAAGAAGAGCUGGUGGGAGGAAAUGGGUGGCUACCCAGCAACUGCUUGCUGGUUGCGCCAAUUUGGGGCUUGCUAGCAAUUGUGCUUGUCCCUGAACUAUAGACCAAAAAGAGACAAUGCUAACUUAAUGAAUGUUUUGUGUGGGAAUUAGUCUGUACAUUAGCCACAACCGGAUCCAGAUUGAGGUUGGCGGUCGAUACCAACGCCGUCCUGGAUGGCGUGCUCGAGAUCGAAGGCGGGGAACUCCAGAAGGCAGACGGCGGCAUUGCCUCAGUUGUAGCUGCAUGGGGAAGAGGAGGGGUGGAGGAGUAGACGCUGCAUCUCCAUCCGCCGUGAUGGGAGUGAUGGCGCCGGCGCUCGCCGUGUCCGCCGUCAGCUCCAUCUUGACGAUGUUAUCCUCGAUUGGAAGUUCGAGCGCCCUCACAACAGGACUUACUCCACCCCUUCUCCCUCCCCGUUCCCUUCCCCUGGGGGUUAAUUGAAGUAUUUAUAUUUCCGUAUUAGUGUGGUUCAACUUGCUAUUGGGCAUAUGGUGUGUUUUCUGAAUUUUGGUCUGAAAGAUGAUUUUGUGAGUUCAAGCUUUUGUGCGAUUCCUGAUGUUGUGUUCCUGCCAAAUGACAUAUGUCCUGCACUGAAUUUUUCUGACGCUAUAAUCAUGGCAGGAGCUUUGUACUGGGAAAGCAUGUCAGAAUUAUCUAGAAUUGAUGGACUUUAGUUGGUGUUUGUUUGCUGGAUGGAAUUAGAUUUGUGGAUAUAUCAGUUUAUGGGUGGCUACUUGAUUGGUGAAUUCACCUGCUAUAUGAACACUAUUUUUAAUAAAUGGUGUGCAUCUAGAGAUGUAUAAGAACAAGUUUGAGGAUAAAGAUUCAUAUAAAGAAUUAUGUAAAAAAUUGUGAUUCUUAAUAUCUUGAGAACUAGCGUAUAUUUUUUCCACUACAUUAGCCUUCAGAUUUUUCUUGGAUUUGCUUUCUGCACUAAUGUUUUCAGUACCAUCCUUCUUCCGCGAUGCUGCUGCAUGCCAGGAUUCGCAGUGGCACCGCCGCAGCCAGCGAGGACACAAGCUCACGAGGAUUGUUGCCGCUUCGGAGGACAUGGGAGCUGCCAUAGCCAGCGAGUACGUGAGCGCACGUAGGCACCAUCGCUUUCGAGGAUGCGAGAGCCAUCUCAGCUUGAGAGAAUGCGCAUACCAUCUCCAGUGUGUGCAACAAGUGUUCCUCUAAACGUCUGAGCGUAAAGACUACUCAUGGGUGAUGCUUCUGUGACCAGACCUCUAUGUAUGUCCUUUGCGGCCUUUCCUAUAAAUAAAUUAUAAGUAUAUGUCAUUGCCAUAUUAAUUGUGUACUUCUCUAUUAGAAAAUCACAAGAUAGUUUCAGUGUUGUUGUUCUCAAUCUUGUUACCCUUAAGUGCAAGACAUCAAUUUGCUCUUAAGUAAAAGGGAAAUUUGAGCAGGAAAGGUAAGCAAUUCGAAGCAAGCUCCCGAGAUAAAUUUUCUUUUGGUUUAGCUAACGAAUGCCUUGGUAUAGGUCUAAUCUCUCCUUCCUAGAGAUGGUUCUUUCUUAUUUCUUGUUCUUUCUUAUUUCUUUUACGGGGACUUACUUUUGUUUCUUUAAUUAGGAUACCUUCACCUGGUAUUUUUUGUUUUAAUUAAUGAAUAUAGAUUUGUCUCAACCAAGCUAGCCGUAUAGUAGAAAUUCAGCAUGCACACAAGGUGAUCUGGUUGAGUUUUACUAGGUAACCGUACCAUUGUUGUCUGCAUGCUGAAAAGCUUAUGGGUAUGUACUGAAACUAAAUUAUACUCCCUCCGUCCGGAAAUACUUGUCAUUGAAAUAGAUGUAUCUAGAUGUAUUUUAGUUCUAGAUACAUCUAUUUUCAUCCAUUCUGAUGACAAGUAUUUCCGGACGGAGGGAGUAGUUGUUAAGGAUUAUUUGCAGACAGGUCAAGACCGGAAGAUGUCAUCAUUAUCCCUAAACUGAGAUGUCUUCAGGAUUGGAAAUGUCACGAAGGCCCCCGUACAAUUAUAGGUACCAACAUAUAAAAAUCCAAGAAUUUCCUGCUAAGAGACACUCGACAUGCAAACUUAAAUCAUGCUAGAAUUCGUCAAAUACCAUGUUUAACCUGAAUUAGUUACUUGACAUGUGCCUAUCUUCUUCUUUUUCCAAAUUAUGUGUUCAAUUGUUCAUCAUAUUAUUGAUGGAAUUAAUUUUGCAUCGAUUGUUUGCACCACUUGAUAAUUACAACGAAAGUUAUGGAUGUCCAAUCUGGCUGGUUGUUUGUCUACUACUAAAGCUUGUACAUAUUUGCUUAAAUUUGAAUACAUGUCAAAAAAAAAUCUCCCGUUGCCACACACACAUCCGUGGCAAUUGUUGAAAGCUCUGAAUGCUUCACUCUUUGUUCUGAUGCUUAGGGAUAUUGGGUAGAAUCCAGUGUCACUCAUGAUCCUGGUUUAAUAGAGGAACUGAAUUGAUCAUGAUUUUGAAUGUCAAAUGUCACACAGGGAAGGGCCUGAACAUGAACUUACUUGGUAAUGCCCAUUUGUGUAGAUCGGUAGCCUGUGGCAUCUAUUUUGUCCAAUCGUCCGCCACGAACAAAUUUUCUUUGUUGGGUGCUGGUGGUUCUACUUCCAAUGUUUUUGUAGGACAUUGCUCGGUUAGUAAUGACUUUGAAUGUAAAGCGUGCUAUGAAGUACAUGAUGCGCUGUGUAGUUCCCUCAAUUACGUGAAGAAGAAGAAUGGCAGCAAAGACUUAUGAGGUAAAGGGCCAAAACCAAGCUGCGGUCAGUUGGGGAGCCAAAUUGCAAGUGCAUUUCAAGUGAGGUUUUCAGAACCAUCGGCUGGAAUAGGAAGGGCAGUGGCCAAUGCUGUUCCUGGGGUGCGCUGUAGUACUGUUCUUUUCACAAGUCUUUUGGUUUGCUUUAUGCUGGUUGUGUGCUCGUUUGCCUGUUGGAGCAACCUGCAAAUGUUCAAAGACGUUCACAAGUCUUUUGGUCCCUCUUUUUUUUUUCCUAUUUUGCAAACACCCAUUGCUUGAUUUCCUCUUUCAAAAUAAACAUCUAGAAAAAUGCAUUGGAGGAUUCUAUUUCUUAGAAAAAAGUUGAUUUUUCUGUUUGUUUUAAAAAUGUGGCAUUGCCUUCCGUAAACAAAUAGCAUUGCCGAGCACAUGUCGCAGUAGGGUUUCGAUAACAGGUCUAGAUUACUAAUUAACCUCUAAGUAGUAAAAAAAUAAGGUUCUCAAUUCCAGUAAAAAGAAAAUUCGUAACCGACCAGUUACCGGUUUACCGGCCCCUCCGGUGGAGAAUAUAUACUGGCCGGAAUUGGCUGGUGUUGAGAAAAUUCCCUUGAAUUCAACAAAUUUGGUUCAAAUGUUAAAGAAUUCAAAAUUUGUUCAAAUGAUUUUGCAUGGAAAUUAAUCGAAACAGAUCUGAGAUUUCCAAGGUUUACUGGAAACCGAUUCUUCCAGGCCCUAAAUAAACAUCAUAUAGAGAGAGAAAAAAAGGCCUUGGUCCAAACUCCAAAUAUCAU